rnacentral:rRNA from 1 species
UACGGGGGGAGCAAGCGGUUGUUCGGAUUUACUGGGCGUAAAGGGCGCGUAGGCGGUCGUGACAAGUCACUUGUGAAAUCUCCGGGCUUAACUCGGAACGGUCAAGUGAUACUGUCGGACUAGAGUACAGAAGGGGCAACUGGAAUUCUCGGUGUAGCGGUGAAAUGCGUAGAUAUCGAGAGGAACACCUGCGGCGAAGGCGGGUUGCUGGGCUGAUACUGACGCUGAGGCGCGAAAGCCAGGGAGGCGAACGGG